rnacentral:sRNA from 1 species
UUACCAUAGUGCGCGCGGAAGCGCUAGUU